rnacentral:misc_RNA from 1 species
GAUGAAGAACGUAGCGAAAUGCGAUACGUAAUGUGAAUUGCAGAAUUCAGUGAAUCAUCGAAUCUUUGAACGCAUAUUGCGCUCUCUGGUAUUCCGGAGAGCAUGCUUGUUUGAGUAUCAGUAAACACCUCAACUUCCAUAUCUUUUUUGAAAUGGGAGUUGGACUUGAGUGAUCCCAACGCUUUUCCUCACCGAAAAGUGGCGGGUUACUUGAAAUGCAGGUGCAGCUGGACUUUUCUCUGAGCUAUAAGCAUAUCUAUUUAGUCUGCCUAAAAACAGAUUAUUACCUUUGCUGCAGCUAACAUAAAGGAGAUUAGUUCUUGUGUUGACUGAUGCAGGAUUCACAAAGACAGGCUUCGGCCGACUUUGUAAACUCGAUCUCAAAUCAAGUAAGACUACCCGCUGAACUUAAGCAUAUCAAUAAGCGGAGGA